rnacentral:rRNA from 1 species
CUGCGGCAGCGACACUCAGGUGUUGUUGGGUAGGGGAGCGUUCUGUAAGCCUGCGAAGGUGGCCUGUGAGGGUUGCUGGAGGUAUCAGAAGUGCGAAUGCUGACAUAAGUAACGAUAAAGCGGGUGAAAAGCCCGCUCGCCGGAAGACCAAGGGUUCCUGUCCAACGUUAAUCGGGGCAGGGUGAGUCGACCCCUAAGGCGAGGCCGAAAGGCGUAGUCGAUGGGAAACGGGUUAAUAUUCCCGUACUUGGUGUUACUGCGAAGGGGGGACGGAGAAGGCUAUGUUGGCCGGGCGACGGUUGUCCCGGUUUAAGCGUGUAGGUGUGUGUUCCAGGUAAAUCCGGUUCACUUUAACACUGAGGCGUGAUGACGAGGCACUACGGUGCUGAAGCAACAAAUGCCCUGCUUCCAGGAAAAGCCUCUAAGCAUCAGGUAACAUCAAAUCGUACCCCAAACCGACACAGGUGGUCAGGUAGAGAAUACCAAGGCGCUUGAGAGAACUCGGGUGAAGGAACUAGGCAAAAUGGUGCCGUAACUUCGGGAGAAGGCACGCUGACACGUAGGUGAAGUGAUUUACUCAUGGAGCUGAAGUCAGUCGAAGAUACCAGCUGGCUGCAACUGUUUAUUAAAAACACAGCACUGUGCAAACACGAAAGUGGACGUAUACGGUGUGACGCCUGCCCGGUGCCGGAAGGUUAAUUGAUGGGGUCAGCGCAAGCGAAGCUCCUGAUCGAAGCCCCGGUAAACGGCGGCCGUAACUAUAACGGUCCUAAGGUAGCGAAAUUCCUUGUCGGGUAAGUUCCGACCUGCACGAAUGGCGUAAUGAUGGCCAGGCUGUCUCCACCCGAGACUCAGUGAAAUUGAACUCGCUGUGAAGAUGCAGUGUACCCGCGGCAAGACGGAAAGACCCCGUGAACCUUUACUAUAGCUUGACACUGAACAUUGAGCCUUGAUGUGUAGGAUAGGUGGGAGGCUUUGAAGUGUGGACGCCAGUCUGCAUGGAGCCGGCCUUGAAAUACCACCCUUUAAUGUUUGAUGUUCUAACGUGGACCCGUGAUCCGGGUUGCGGACAGUGUCUGGUGGGUAGUUUGACUGGGGCGGUCUCCUCCUAAAGAGUAACGGAGGAGCACGAAGGUUGGCUAAUCCUGGUCGGACAUCAGGAGGUUAGUGCAAUGGCAUAAGCCAGCUUGACUGCGAGCGUGACGGCGCGAGCAGGUGCGAAAGCAGGUCAUAGUGAUCCGGUGGUUCUGAAUGGAAGGGCCAUCGCUCAACGGAUAAAAGGUACUCCGGGGAUAACAGGCUGAUACCGCCCAAGAGUUCAUAUCGACGGCGGUGUUUGGCACCUCGAUGUCGGCUCAUCACAUCCUGGGGCUGAAGUAGGUCCCAAGGGUAUGGCUGUUCGCCAUUUAAAGUGGUACGCGAGCUGGGUUUAGAACGUCGUGAGACAGUUCGGUCCCUAUCUGCCGUGGGCGCUGGAGAACUGAGGGGGGCUGCUCCUAGUACGAGAGGACCGGAGUGGACGCAUCACUGGUGUUCGGGUUGUCAUGCCAAUGGCACUGCCCGGUAGCUAAAUGCGGAAGAGAUAAGUGCUGAAAGCAUCUAAGCACGAAACUUGCCCCGAGAUGAGUUCUCCCUGAGACUUUAGGUCUCCUGAAGGAACGUUGAAGACGACGACGUUGAUAGGCCGGGUGUGUAAGCGCAGCGAUGCGUUGAGCUAACCGGUACUAAUGAACCGUGAGGCUUAACCUUACA